CUCCGGGCUCAACCCGGAGAGGCCACUCGAUACUGCCAUGACUCGAGUCCGGUAGGGGAGUGCGGAAUUCCUGGUGUAGCGGUGAAAUGCGCAGAUAUCAGGAGGAACACCGGUGGCGAAGGCGGCACUCUGGGCCGGAACUGACGCUGAGGAGCGAAAGCGUGGGGAGCAAACAGGAUUAGAUACCCUGGUAGUCCACGCCGUAAACGAUGGGCACUAGGUGUGGGAGGUGUCGACUCCUCCCGUGCCGGAGCUAACGCAUUAAGUGCCCCGCCUGGGGAGUACGGCCGC
rnacentral:rRNA from 1 species